CCUACGGGUGGCAGCAGUAGGGAAUAUUGCUCAAUGGGGGAAACCCUGACGCAGCAACGCCGCGUGGAUGAUGACGGUUUUCGGAUUGUAAACUCCUUUUGUUAGGGAAGAUAAUGACGGUAUCUCACGAAUAAGCACCGGCUCACGCCGUGCCAGCCGCCGCGGUAAUACGGAGGGUGCAAGCGUUACUCGGAAUCACUGGGCGUAAAGAGCGCGUAGGCGGGAUAGCAAGUCAGUUGUGAAAUCCUAUGGCUUAACCUUAGAACUGUAUUGGAAACUGUUAUUCUAGCGUAUGGGGGAGGUAGGAGGAAGGCUUGGUGUAGGGGUAAAAUCCGUAGAGAUCAAGAGGAAUACUCAUGGCGAAGGCGACCUACUAGAACAUAACUGACGCUGAGGCGCGAAAGCGUGGGGAGCAAACAGGAUUAGAUACCCGGGUAGUC
rnacentral:rRNA from 1 species